CACUGAGCAUAAAAAAGAAAUGGAAGGAGGCAACGACUCCCACACCUCAAUCUGAGAGCGUCUGUGUUUUUAACGGCUGCUCUCGCUAUGAGGCCCUCUUCCUGCUUUGACAGUAAAAACUGAACAAUAAAACAGCCGCUCCUGAAAGAGGAAAGAGCAGACGACUGAACAUCUUCAAAGCAUGAGGACUCUCCUGCUUUAUUUUCUUUUUAUUCAGCUUUUUGAAGCCCGCUCUGAGUUGCAGUUAAAGCAUCUAAUGGAGGGGGAGUCUGUGGGGCUCUCCUGCAUCCCUCAGAAGGAUCGUGGCUCACUGGUCGGGCUCCAACUGUACCACCACGGCGUUCAGAGCCAAACCACCCUCCUGUCUGUCACUGAGAGUGGACGGGUCAAGGUGGACCCAGAGCUAAGGCCCCGUCUGAAGCUCCACGGAACACUAAACUCCUUGCAGAUCAAUGUGAGCAUCUCUCUCCUACAACCGAGCGACACUGGAGUUUAUGUGUGGGAGCUGAGUUAUGGGAGCAACAGCUCUGACUGGAGAGACCACAGUGUGAGGACAAUGCUGCUGGUUGAAGGGGCAGGAAAACUGUGUCAGAGCUACCACACCCUGCUCUUGACCAUGGCUGCAGCUGCUGGCUUUCUCCUGCUCACACUCGCCUGGAUAGCUGCCGAAAUCUGGGUAAAGAAGUACCGUCAUUCUCACCCCAAACCUCAUUCUUCUAUCUAUGAGGAAAUGAGUGCGAAGCAGCAGAGCUCAGGAACACCCCAAAAUAACCAGGAGGCCCACCCGCAGCUUGAGGAAGCCAGCACCCCUGUGUACGCCAACACAAACAUCCGACAACUGCAGGACAACUACUACGCCUGUCCCCGCCUGCCCGCCCUCAGGUGCUGA
rnacentral:lncRNA from 1 species